CUGAUUUAUAUUUCCUCCCAAGAAGUAAAUUUAAUCUAUCAUGUUCUUUCCUACUCUUUUAUGCUUGACCUCCCUACUGCACCAAGACAUGGGCCAUAUGUAUAAAAAAUAAGCAUUUAGCUAGGAAUCCAUCUCAUUUCUUAGCUCAACUGGUUGGCAUCCAUCUCGAUCUCGAAGAGAUCCAAGGCUCAAACCUCGGCGGUGGUGCUGCCAUCAUAUUUUUCUUAAAAAAAACAAAA